rnacentral:lncRNA from 1 species
UCACUGUCACUAAGGCACAAUGGGAAGCAUUUGAGACAAACUCCAUUUAGAUCUUGUUUUCUUACAAUAGCUAGAAAUGUGGCUAUUAUUAGUUGCCUUAUAUCGAGGUUGCCAUUUUGAGUUCUGGGUUUGGGAUUCGAACCCGUGUCUUCACUAAAUAUUCAACAGAGGAUAAAAAUAGCAUCUGACAGUGCGGUGAGGGGGGGUCAGGUGGGGGGGUGUCAUGCAUCAGCACGGUGCUCACCAUUUCGACAGGUGACACUGUGGCAUGGCUUAAUCGCCAGCUCUUCCCACCACUGAGCCUCUUUGAGUUAUUUUAUUAUUAGCAAAGCCCCUGCCAGCGAUGGAAAAUCGGAUGAUCAGUCAGAGCGUUCGGAUGAGUCAGGGGUGGCGGGUCUGGGAUAAGUGCGCUGCUGCUGUGUCAGCCCAGCCCAGGUAAAUACCGUGGCUGUCCUGGAGGUGCAGGGAAGAACUGGGGGGGGAGUGAUCAGAGCAGGACCUGGAGGAGAACUCCAGUCCACAGGCAUGUGUCAUCCCCUCAGCAAUCCUCUCAGCCCCACAGAGAGACUGUGUAACAGCUGGGCUCUGUGCUGGAGAACAUCCCCUGCUGAUGAAUCAGUACAGAGCAGGCUUAGCCAGGAGCUGGGAGCAUGGGAGGUGAUUUUCUUUUUGAAGAAAGGAAGCCAUUCAGAUUGUUGCCACCGUCUAGGAGACUGAUCCAAGAGCACUAUUGCAACACUGUCCUUCACCUUUCCAGAUCAGGAUCUUGUCCUUUUCCCUGCCACUUUUCCCCAGGAUCCAGAAGUUACAUCAUGCUGCCAGCGGGAGAUGCCCAGGGGCAUGCUGGGGAAACUGCAGUUGCAGAAGGCAGCUGGGAAUAAC